GUUGAAGAACGUAGUGAAAUGCGAUAAGUAAUGUGAAUUGCAGAAUUCAGUGAAUCAUCGAAUCUUUGAACGCACAUUGCGCCCCCUGGUAUUCCGGGGGGCAUGCCUGUCCGAGCGUCAUUACAACCCUCAAGCUCAGCUUGGUGUUGGGCCCCGCCGCCCCGGCGGGCCCUAAAGUCAGUGGCGGUGCCGUCCGGCUCCGAGCGUAGUAAUUCUUCUCGCUCUGGAGGUCCGGUCGUGUGCUCGCCAGCAACCCCCAAUUUUUUUCAGGUUGACCUCGGAUCAGGUAGGGAUACCCGCUGAACUUAAGCAUAUCAAUAAGCGGAGGA
rnacentral:misc_RNA from 1 species